rnacentral:rRNA from 1 species
GUCGAGCGCAGGAACCAGAUGACCCCUUCGGGGUGAUUCUGGCGGAAUGAGCGGCGGACGGGUGAGUAACACGUGGGCAACCUGCCUGUAAGACUGGGAUAACUUCGGGAAACCGGAGCUAAUACCGGAUAGUAUUUCCUUUCUCCUGAUUGGAAAUGGAAAGACGGUUUCGGCUGUCACUUACAGAUGGGCCCGCGGUGCAUUAGCUAGUUGGUGGGGUAAUGGCCCACCAAGGCGACGAUGCAUAGCCGACCUGAGAGGGUGAUCGGCCACACUGGGACUGAGACACGGCCCAGACUCCUACGGGAGGCAGCAGUAGGGAAUCUUCCGCAAUGGACGAAAGUCUGACGGAGCAACGCCGCGUGAGCGAUGAAGGCCUUCGGGUCGUAAAGCUCUGUUGUUAGGGAAGAACAAGUACGAGAGUAACUGCUCGUACCUUGACGGUACCUAACCAGAAAGCCCCGGCUAACUACGUGCCAGCAGCCGCGGUAAUACGUAGGGGGCAAGCGUUGUCCGGAAUUAUUGGGCGUAAAGGGCUCGUAGGCGGUUUCUUAAGUCUGAUGUGAAAGCCCACAGCUCAACUGUGGAGGGUCAUUGGAAACUGGGGAACU